UGGGGAAUAUUGCACAAUGGGCGCAAGCCUGGUGCAGCCAUGCCGCGUGUAUGAAGAAGGCCUUCGGGUUGUAAAGUACUUUCAGUCGGGAGGAAGGUGUCAAGGUUAAUAACCUUGGCAAUUGACGUUACCGACAGAAGAAGCACCGGCUAACUCCGUGCCAGCAGCCGCGGUAAUACGGAGGGUGCAAGCGUUAAUCGGAAUUACUGGGCGUAAAGCGCACGCAGGCGGUUGAUUGAGUCAGAUGUGAAAUCCCCGGGCUUAACCCGGGAAUUGCAUCUGAUACUGGUCAGCUAGAGUCUUGUAGAGGGGGGUAGAAUUCCAUGUGUAGCGGUGAAAUGCGUAGAGAUGUGGAGGAAUACCGGUGGCGAAGGCGGCCCCCUGGACAAAGACUGACGCUCAGGUGCGAAAGCGUGGGGAGCAAACA
rnacentral:rRNA from 1 species